rnacentral:misc_RNA from 1 species
AGGCUUUAACAUAUUUUGGGAUCAUCUUAUUUUCAUGAAAAAUAAUUUAAGUUCUGUUUGACAAGAAUUUGUAUUGAGUAUAUGCUGAUCUUAUGAUGUGGUGGAAAAUUUUCUGAUUCAUUCAUUUGUAGCCUUCAAUAUCACUUAGAACUUCUAAUAUGCAAUAUCUUCAUGUUUCAGGUUGGCAAGUUGUCUACUGGAG